rnacentral:rRNA from 1 species
GUGAGGAAUUUUCCGCAAUGGGCGAAAGCCUGACGGAGCAAUGUCGCGUGAAGGAUGAAGGCCUAUGGGUUGUAAACUUCUUUUCUCAGAAAAGAAUUAUGACGGUAUCUGAGGAAUAAGCAUCGGCUAACUCUGUGCCAGCAGCCGCGGUAAGACAGAGGAUGCAAGCGUUAUCCGGAAUGAUUGGGCGUAAAGCGUCUGUAGGUUGUUUAAAAAGUAUUCUGUCAAAGAUUAGGGCUUAACCCUAGAUAGGCAGAAUAAACUUUUAAGCUAGAGUUUGGUAGAGGCAGAGGGAAUUCCCGGUGGAGCGGUGAAAUGCGUAGAUAACGGGAGGAACACCAAAGGCGAAGGCACUCUGCUGGGCCAAUACUAACACUGAGAGACGAAAGCGAGGGGAGCAAAUGGGAUUAGAUACCCUGGUAGUCC